rnacentral:misc_RNA from 1 species
AACUUUUGGCAACGGAUCACUUGGCUCGCGCAUCGAUGAAGAACGCAGCGAAAUGCGAUAAGUAAUGUGAAUUGCAGAUUUCAGUGAAUCAUCGAAUCUUUGAACGCACCUUGCGCUCCUUGGUAUUCCGAGGAGCAUGCCUGUUUGAGUGUCCUUAAUAUAAUCAACCUUCAACUUGUUUGAGUGGUUUGGAUGUGGGGGUUUGCUGGCCUUUCAAAAGGUUUCAGCUCCUCUGAAAUGCAUUAGCAGAACAAACCCUGUUCAUUGGUGUGAUAACUAUCUACGCUUAUGAAUGCGAGGGGCAGUUCAGCUUUCUAAUCGUCUUUGGACAAUUCAUCAUUAAUGUGACCUCAAAUCAGGUAGGACUACCCGCUGAACUUAAGCAUAUCAAUAAGCGGAGGAU